UACGUAGGGGGCAAGCGUUGUCCGGAUUUAUUGGGCGUAAAGAGCGUGUAGGCGGCCUGAAAGGUCAGCUGUGAAAACUCGAGGCUCAACCUCGAGACGUCGGUUGAAACCAUCUGGCUAGAGUCCGGAAGAGGAGUGUGGAAUGCUUGGUGUAGAGGUGAAAUUCGUAGAUAUCAAGCGGAACACCGGUGGCGAAGGCGGCCUUCUGGACAGUGACUGACGCUGAGACGCGAAAGCGUGGGGAGCAAACAGG
rnacentral:rRNA from 1 species